rnacentral:misc_RNA from 1 species
AAAGAAGGGACUAGAAGAGGUGAGAAAUGGAGGGACACAGAUGGAAGCAGGAGAAGAGCAAGAAAGGAUGACAGUAGACCAAAUUAUAGAAGAAAGAAGAAAGAGAGAAGCAGAAGAGAGGGGGAAAAGGAUAAGGGAAUCCAAAUAUUACAUUAUAGAAAAAUCGCCAAAAAAAGAGUUACCAAAAUACUCAGAAGGGAGGAUGAAAUGGAAGGACAGAAAAAUAUUAGCAAGAUUCAGAUGUGGAAACGAGACCAAAGCAAGGAAAUACUGGAAAGAAGAGGGAGAAAAAAGAUGCAGGCUAUGUAAAAGGAAAGAUGCAGACUAUGUAAAAGGAAAGAAGACCUGAGACAUGUAAUAGAAGAAUGCGAAAUAACAGGAAGACCAAAGGACACAGAAAAAAUACUAAACGAGAUUGGAGAAGGACUAACAGAACUAAAAACAAUAAUGGAGAAGAGAAGGGCAAUACAAGACAGAGAGGAACGACAAUAAGGAAGCACAGCAAGGAGGCAAAAUUCCAAAAGUUGCCAUAGUUUUAGAGACAGAAUAAUUAAGAGAGUGCAAUAUAAUAGAGUGGAUAAGAGGGGAGAUAGAUAUAUAAGAAGUGAAAUAGGUAAACGAGAUGUAAAACCAAAAGCUCGUCCAAAGCCAAAAGGCACAGACUAAGCAAUAAUAAAUAAAUAAAUAAUAUAGUGUAUGAUAUUUUAAUUUUCUUAAAAUUAAUGUCUUUUAUAUUUAU